GACGAACGCUGGCGGCGUGCUUAACACAUGCAAGUCGAACGGAAAGGCCUGCUUUCCCUUGUGGAUUGCGGGUACUCGAGUGGCGAACGGGUGAGUAACACGUGAGUGAUCUGCCCCCAACUUGGGUAUAAGCCUGGGAAACUGGGUCUAAUUCCCGAUAGGACUGCAGGGUGGUGCCUGUGGUGGAAAACGAUUUUCUAGUGGUUGGGGAUGAGCUCGCGGCCUAUCAGCUUGUUGGUGGGGUAAUGGCCUACCAAGGCGGCGACGGGUAGCCGGCCUGAGAGGGUGGACGGCAACAUUGGGACUGAGAUACGGCCCAGACUCCUACGGGAGGCAGCAGUGGGGAUUAUUGCCCAAUGGGCGGAAGCCUGAUGCAGCGACGCCGCGUGGGGGAUGACGGCCUUCGGGUUGUAAACUCCUUUCGACCGCGAGGAAGCCACCUGGUUGGAAGGGUGGUGACGGUAGUGGUAGAAGAAGCACCGGCUAACUACGUG
rnacentral:rRNA from 1 species